CAACCUGUGUUCCCUCUUUUAGAGGGCAAAGGGAAUUUUCUGCCGUGGAAAACCCUCAAACCUUGUGACAGAUGUCCAGUAAGAAAUCAGUGUCCCAAAGACAGGGGAAAAAAAAAGGCAAAUUUAAUGAUUCUGUGGUUUGCCAAACACCUUACAUAAAUCAGUGAAUAAACAUGAAAUGUGCACUACUUUAAAAAGAUAAGUACUAAUUUUUUUCAUGAUUUAAUAACUAAAUGGAUCUUUGAGCAUGUGUUACCUUUUUUUUAUGAGCUUUUAGAGCUUCCAACCUCACCAGGGUGCAGCAACCAGCAGCUCAAAGCCAGCGGGACCAUUAAAGACCUAAAAAUCAGAACUCCCAAUAUCAAAUUUGAACCCAGUAAAAAAAGCACUGUGCCAGAACAGAUCCAUAAAGCACAUUUCAACAACAAGUUACAGCUGCUGCCCCGUAUUUAUAGCUUUGGGACAAAAAAAAAAAAAAAAAUAGAAAGCAAAACACAACAGACUGGAAAGAGUGGAAAGGAUUGGAAACAGCAAAUUUGUCAAUGUUUUUCCUCACUGCCGAGUCGCUGCUGCUUUAGAUUAGCCCUGUCCCCUGCAAUUUGACAGUAGCGCCGUGAACCUGCAGCGUGAGGAUCCCGGGCUAAGAUAGGGAGAAAGGAGGAGGAAUUCAGGGAAUGUUUUCCCUCGGAGCAAGCGGGGAAGCGCAGCCGCUGGGACCCGGGCUGCGGUGACAGCGCUAACACUUCCCAGAGCCGGGGACCCCGCCGCUGGAAUGGCAUUGCCCACCCUGAAAGUGAGAAGGGGUUUCCAAGGAAAAUUUCCACCUCCUGAGCAGAACGAGGAAGGAGCUCACUGUGGCCACACAAGAUCUGAAACCAAGGGGGUGUUUUGGGUCCUUCCUGGUGAGGAUCUUCACCUUUUUCAGAUGUCAAGAAGCCACCAAGGUGUCUUCCAAAGCAACGUAUCAGGUGUGCAGGUCACACCCCACCACGUGCUCAGGACAGCCACUCCCUGUCACCUGAGUCAGCAGCACUGUCACAGCAGCUGAGUUCUGAAGGGAUUUUGGUGCUUCCUGAUGCUCCCUUGGGCUCUGAGGGAACUCAGCCUUGCUUAGAUCAUUGUCCAGAGCCUUGAGCUGCUUGCAGCAGUUUCUCCUCCUCUAAGAAGUGGGACAGAUGUGGGAUGGGACCCC
rnacentral:lncRNA from 1 species